GGAAAACCGAAAAGAUUUGAUCUUGGUGAAAUUUGGCGUAUGGAAAUGGCUAGUGUUCUGUUUUAUUGGUGGUGAAGUCAUCUUUGAUAAGAGGUGAACUGAGUUGAGUUGGGUUGAGUUUGGUGCGGACGAAUUGUGUGCAGAUAAGAGUGCUGAAGUACUUGAUAGCCACCUCUCUGCUAUCCAAAGGGAUCAUGAAAAGAGAUCCCUGAUUGAGGAGCAAAGAAUAAAGGACGAUGUAGCUAUUGAAGAAGCCAAACAGAAAGAAAAAGCCAUAUAUGAGGAAGAAGUGAGGCGAGAAAAGGCUAAGGCCAAAGCAGAGGCGAGAGAAAAAGCUACAAAAUUAGCAGAAGAACGAAGAUUAGCUCUCGAUACUGCAAAAAAGGAGGCUGAAGAAGCUGCAAGAAAGGAAGCUGAGAGAGAUGCUGCAGAAGCUGCAGAAAAGGCAGCUCAGAAUAAGGUCGGUAGUAGUGCACAAAAUGCAAGAGAAAGAAAGGAAGGAAGUUCAUCUUCUGAUGAAUCAGGGAUUAAAGUUAUGGCUGCAGACGCUGCACUUAAGUCAGAGGCAAACAGACUAAGAGAUUCCUAGUAUACCUCAGAAGGAAUUUGAAAAAUAUGGACGAAAGAUGUUUAGGAUAGUAAGCCAAAUAACCGGGACCUUUGAGGCUGUCAGUCAGGAAAUCCACCUGAUGUGGCAAAAAUGUUUCAUGAAACUUGAAAGAAAGCUAAUGAAACACUAGAUACUGGGGAUCAAGAUAAAUAUGAUGAAAUUAUUCAAAUCAAACAAACAAACCCUUCACUUUUUGACAUUGAGAUAGUUGAGAAAAUCUGAGGGAAGCAAUCUCAUGGUCACAUCACUAUAUUUGAUGGCGGGACAACUUUGAAAGAUUUGAGAGGACCACUCCCUAGUCGAUCUGAUCUGGAAGCACAGGUUAUAGAAAAAAAGAGAAAGAACCAGAUGCUUCAACAACGGCUAGAUGAGCAGGAGCAACAACAACAAAGGAUGUUUGAGUUGGAGUCACAAGCGAAAGCUAUGCAAGAACUUUUUUUUAGGCAAUCACCUUCAUUGACUCCUCAAACUCGAGAACGUGUGCAGGAUUAGGCUAUCCAUGCAAGAUUAGGAUG